GACGAACGCUGGCGGCGUGCUUAACACAUGCAAGUCGAACGGAAAGGCCCUGCUUUUGUGGGGUGCUCGAGUGGCGAACGGGUGAGUAACACGUGAGUAACCUGCCCUUGACUUUGGGAUAACUUCAGGAAACUGGGGCUAAUACCGGAUAGGAGCUCCUGCUGCAUGGUGGGGGUUGGAAAGUUUCGGCGGUUGGGGAUGGACUCGCGGCUUAUCAGCUUGUUGGUGGGGUAGUGGCUUACCAAGGCUUUGACGGGUAGCCGGCCUGAGAGGGUGACCGGCCACAUUGGGACUGAGAUACGGACCAGACUCCUAUGGGAGGCAGCAGUGGGGAAUAUUGCACAAUGGGCGGAAGCCUGAUGCAGCAACGCCGCGUGCGGGAUGACGGCCUUCGGGUUGUAAACCGCUUUCGCCUGUGACGAAGCGUGAGUGACGGUAAUGGGUAAAGAAGCACCGGCUAACUACGUG
rnacentral:rRNA from 1 species